rnacentral:rRNA from 1 species
AGCGAACGCUGGCGGCAGGCUUAACACAUGCAAGUCGAACGGGCAUAGCAAUAUGUCAGUGGCAGACGGGUGAGUAACGCGUGGGAACGUACCUUUUGGUUCGGAACAACACAGGGAAACUUGUGCUAAUACCGGAUAAGCCCUUACGGGGAAAGAUUUAUCGCCGAAAGAUCGGCCCGCGUCUGAUUAGCUAGUUGGUAGGGUAAUGGCCUACCAAGGCGACGAUCAGUAGCUGGUCUGAGAGGAUGAUCAGCCACAUUGGGACUGAGACACGGCCCAAACUCCUACGGGAGGCAGCAGUGGGGAAUAUUGGACAAUGGGCGAAAGCCUGAUCCAGCCAUGCCGCGUGAGUGAUGAAGGCCCUAGGGUUGUAAAGCUCUUUUGUGCGGGAAGAUAAUGACGGUACCGCAAGGAUAAGCCCCGGCUAACUUCGUG